GUUCCAAUGAGGGGGGCAAGACCUUUUUCGGGACGACAGGAUCAGUUUUUUUAAGCUCAGGAUUUGGGAUUGACCCUUUCGGGAUCCAGGAUUUUUUUUCCAAAUUUCGGGAUGUUGGGAUUCAAUUUUCUUUAAAUUCUGGACUUCUGUUCAGGGAUUUCAUGUCUUUAAGCCCGGGAUUUCAGAACCAGGACACCUCCAA
rnacentral:lncRNA from 1 species